CAGAGUUCUUCAGUCAGCAGAGCUUAAGAGGUAAUGAGAGAUCACCAGGCUAGGAGGAUAGAGAAGCCUGAAUUCUGCUAAGGAAUAGACAUAAACAACUGCCAGCCAUUAUUCUGGAGGUCACAAGAAGUGAUUCAGCACUCAGGAUUAUUGCCCACACCCCUACGAUUGCACCCCCAAGCAAUCACCAGCAAGCACCCAAUGCCUAGCCAUCCCCACCCCUUCCCCCAAACUACCUUUGAAAAACCCCUAACCUACCAGCCUUCAAUGAGAUUGAUUUGAGUAAUAACUCCAUCUCCAGUGUGGAGUGGCCAGCCUCACAUCAAUUAAACUCUUUCUUUACUGCAAUGCUAUGGUCUUUGUUUGUGCAGCAGGCAGGAAGAACUCCUCAGGCAGUUACACUUCGAGCCUUAAGACACCUUGAUGUCAGACUUCCAGUGCCCUGAAUUGUGACAGAAUAAAUUUCUGUUGUUUUAAAACUCCCAAGUUUGUGACAGUUUGUUAUGGCAGUUCUAGGAAACUAAAAUAAAUGGUGAUUUUUGACGCCCCUUAAAUCACCUCACUUAUGGGAGUGUCCACUUCAUCUACUCCAGGCUCACCCCCUCUUUUCCCAAAGAGAAGAAAUAUUUUGUGUACGAGAAUAUUUCUUCCUGAUCUUCACUUUGCAGCAUAUGGACUGCAACAAGAGCGUGAGAAAAGCAAUGCCAAGUCAAUAAGGAUUGCUUGUCCAGUGCACAAAACACCCUGCUUAGCAUAAGAGUAACAGAAGCAUUUCUUUGUCACUAGUUAGCUGUGUGACCUUAAGGGAGUGACUUAACCCUUUGAAACUUCCACUUUCUCAAAACAAAUUAGUUGCACAAUACAUAUUUAAGGUCCUUAAUGUCAUAGAAUUACUUAGCAAAUUAUAGUAUUAGGAGCAAAGAAAAGACAAUAGGGGAAAACAUGAAGAAGCCUUGGAAACUUGAGUACAUCCUCCCUAAAGGAAAAUAACUCCCACAAAUGCUUAAAACGCACCCAUUACAUAGGGCUUUAAUCAUAGGAUAAUUUUGUGCCUGCAACUGCCUAAUUUUUAGUACCAUAGUAAAUAGGUCCUGACAACAGAUUGUUCUUUUAAAUGCAAAUGUUCCCACUAUCUUGACACAUUAUAAUUGUUCUUAGGGCUAUUGACAUCAACAACAUCAGUAUCUCAGGAAAAAUGUGCUGUAUGUAUUUCACUACCUGUCUCGGCUAACCCAUAUGAACAUAUAGCCCUUUUUCUUCAGCAAUCCUCUCUGCAAAUCAUGAUCAUAGAGGCCUCCCCUUAGCAGGACACAGCCUCUCCUAGCCAUCCUGGGAAUUAACUCCACACAGCAGGUUGGGUCUUGCCUACUCACCUUGCAAGCACUCAAUUCAAGGUUAGAGAAAGGUGUAAUUAAAGAGAGAAUAUAAUCUUUCAAUCUUUAGGUUGCAUAUCAAGGACCAAAGUCUCCAAAGACUCUCACUAGCUGAAGCUCUUUGGCAAUGGAGGGGGAAAAUCAAGGCUAGGAAGAGUUAAUCCAGAUUCUAGGACAGGUUAACGUUUCCCUCUUGCUUAGCCCAAGACCUUUAGCCUCUUUUUACUUCUUGCAUUACCAUAUCAAUAUUCCCUUUUCACCCAAAUCCCUCCAUCUACAGCAACUGGUGAGCUGUAAGUUUUGUUUUGUUUAUAUUUGUUAGCAGCUUAACUAUUUCAUGUUCAUUUACAUAUUCCAUGCAAUGUAUCCAUUGAAGUCACUAACAUAUUACUUCCUUGUAGAUCCUUUACAUUCUUUACCAUAUUUUUUUAGUUUAAGGAAAAAUAGCCAAUAAUGUCCCUGCUUAAAUAGAACACAAAGAAGUGAGAGUAUUGAUGGUUAUAAAUUGCUCCUGGUCUUCCAAUAUGGAAACCAAAAACUGGAGACUGGAAAAUCACAUGAAGGAAGACUUUUAGAAAAGUGAUUCAACUGUUAUUAUGAAUUCCUUGAAAAUUUUAACCAAUAGGUUAAAGUUAAAACAGGUUAAUAUAAAAGAAAAACAUAAAUGAUUUAAUGACAUAGUGAGUAGAAAAGUGACACAUACUUCAAAGGGAGAAUGGGGAUACCAGUACAGGGAGUUUGGGAAGAGAAAGUAUGAACUAUAGAAAGGGGAGGAGAAACUGAUACAGAAGGCAUGAGCUCGUGUGUUGCUCUUCAGGUGUUUGUCAGAUCUAGUUACUAACAAUAACAACCAUGCACAAAUGUCCUAUGUGAGAGCAGUAAAAGCUCCUCUGGUAGGCUAGGCCACCUACCAGCUCUGUCCUGCCUCUCAAGGUGAAAGUCAGAACCAUCAUAUUCCCUGUGCAACCCAAGGCCUAACAAAUCCCAGAACAGUAGCCCUCGUUACACUAAGAUUCCCGCGGUUCUCAGGUCGAGAUGCCAAAGUAGGCCAUUUAGCAGCCAGCUGUUCCUGGUGACUAACUUAUCAGUGCUCUGAGGAUUAUUUUUGAAGAUAUAAAUGAAUGUUAGUCUUUGAGCCCCAGAAACACAGCUCACUAAAUAUGAAUCAUUGUGCUAAUCCAGUGCAGGACUCUGUAGGUGUGGGCUGUGUUGUUUGUCCUGGGCUCAAGGAAGAAAGCAAUGAUAUAUUUAAAGCAGGGUGUUUUCAGAGAGAGCAUUAACACAGUGAAUUAUAUGGAGAAUGCAAAUGAAAGAACAGUGAAAGUGACCUUGAGUCCUGUGGCUCAAACUAGUUCCCUGUUAGCUAAUAGCCAAACUGAUCGAGAACAUCAGGAGAGGAAGUUAUAGAUGUUCUGUUUAUUAAACAGAAAACAUUAACAACUUGGUUGUACAUUGAAACACACUAAGACAUGAAAACAAGCACAGGGCAAAAGGGAAAAGUUCAGCGAAUUUUCCUGAACUUUUUUUUUCCUUUUUAGUGCUGUUUUAGCAAUGGCAUUUGAUCAAAUACAGGAAAGGAAUUUUUUGUUUUGUUUUGUUUGUUUUUUUGCAGAGCUUCUUUUGUCCCUAUGAGAUUCACAAUUUUAAUGCAAUCCACUGCAGAAACUGUUGAAAUAUAAAUCUACAGGUCAUAUCUCAAAGUAAGAUGGUAGCACAUUCCAUUGUUUGGGGGAACAGCAGAGACAUUAGAGCUCAGAGGAUGUUUCCAUUUUACAGGAUGGAAAAUGGAGGCCCAAGAAAUUCAAAUGACGUGCCCAAGGUAGUCAUGGAAAUAAGUCUAGAAUUUUGACUUCUGUCCACGCAUACAUCCUGUGCCUUAAGGUCAUGAGUUGCCACUCAUCACCGCAGUCCCUUAUAAGGCUUAGGCUGGGUAUAGAGAAAAUGGAAGAAAGCCAUUGCAAAGUUACAUCUGAAUAACUCUAAGCAUGCUACACUCAAUAAAACCCAACUUCCGAAAAACAUGGCUUACAGACCAAGUUUUUACUGUUUAUGGGACUGCAGUGUUCUGCACACAUGACUAAAAAGCUCCAAGCACUACCUUAAAUCAUCCAUAGUUGUAGGCUAAAGUCUGCCCCCAGCCCCACCCCUUCACCCAAACCUCUAAAUGUGAUCUGUGAAAUUUCUUUCUACUUUGAGAAUAGGAAAAUGAGCUGGGCUCAGUUAAGGGCCAUCACCAAGUUCCACAUGGCUCCUGAGAUGGUUUGUCUUCUGGGUAUGAGCCCCUUCCCCCUUCUCCCUCAGAUGAAGCUCUCUUAACCCACUGGACACCUGUGGGCAGCUUAGGCAAGGAGGGCAGCCUCUAGGUAGGCAGAUUCAAAGUUGAUUCAAACAUGCUCUUGUCCCUCUGGGCAUUCACACUAAGCUCUUUCACCUUUCAGCCAGACAUACACAUCAGGAUUUCCUGACAGGAACACUUGGUUGAUGUUGGCAGCUGAAGAAGCGAAAGCAUUUUCCUUGGUAUGACACUUCCACUGAAGGGACCAAAGGGAUUCAGAGGCACUGGUGACAUUUGGUGGAAUUCACCAUCUGACUUAGAAGAGAUCAAGACAGAAAUCUGAGUUGGAAUCCACUUUUCCAUCUGUACAAAAAUCAUCACUAGAGUUGAGUCAAGGACAACAUUCUAAAAAUUAGCCAGUGUCUACCUGGAGAUGGUAAACUGCAGAAAUUGAGCCAGGACACGCAUGUCUAGAAAAGGGGUGGUCUCCAGAGCAACAUACUCUGGGGGUUUUCAGAGGGUUGUGUGCUUUCUACAUAAGCCCAGCCUGGACUUUGAGAACCCACAAAUGUCAAACAUGAGGUUGCCCUCAGACAGCUCCUAGGAAAACAAGGCCUUGUAGGCCCAAAGCAGGAAAUGUCCGUGGGCUUGGUUCACACUGGUUUCAGGACAUUGUACCUUUGUGAUCACAAAAGGGAUUCUAUUCCCAGUGCCUUUAGGGAAGGAAAUCUUACAGCGCCACAUAUUUCUGCUGCUGAUUAAUAACUCCCCAUAGUCAAAGGAGACAGGGAAAAAUUAGGAAGUUAUCUACCAACAGACCUGGGCAACUCGUCAGAUCUCCAAGAGGUAGAAACUAGGAACUAAAAGACUUGGAUUCUACUCCCAGUUCUGUUUCUGAAAAGCUACAUGAGUUUAGGGAAGUUCCUAAGCUCCAGUUUUCUCAUCUAUUAAAUGAGUUGACUUACCUCACAGGGCUAGUGUGAGUGAGGUUCACAAGAAAUCUUUGUGUAUAAGGAUCUUUAAAAAGUGGCCAGGUAUAGUGGCUCACACCUGCAAUCUCAGCACUUUGGGAGGCUGAGGCAGGAGGAUUGAUUCAGCUUAGGAGUUCAAGACUAGACUGGGCAACAUAAUAAGACCCCAUCUCUUUUUUAUUAAAAAAGAAAAGAAAAGAAAAGUUCUCUGUAAACAAGAGAAAGACUUAGUUUGAUUAACAUUAGACUAUCUUCUCUCUUCCUCUCAUUGAUGAGCCUGUAGCUCCAGCUGGCUUCCUGGAGUCAGCAGAGUCAUUACUCAGCUAUCUACCACCUGCUGGCUCCCAGUGGCUCAGAGAUUCAGGUAAACCAAGCUGCUACUGAGCCAAGAAAGAGUGGUAGCAGAAGGGACAUCUCCUUGGGAUGUUAACAAUCACAAAGGCUCUGGCAUAGGAGUCCUGUAAGCUGGUGAUGGAUCAGAGAGCAAGCAUGCAUCUCCUUUUAAUUAAAAAAGCAAAAAUCUAACUAUGACCUGAAACCUUAAGAUAUCUCAAAAGAGGACCCUGCUGUUUUCCUUGUGUACUUGCUGAUUCAACCUCCAGGUUUAUGCACAGAUCAGAUGGGUCAGAUUUUGGAAGCAGAACUGUAGUUCAUGCAGAAAUCAGGUCAACAAUUAGCAACUGCAGCCCUUCAUUAAGCGCUUCUCCAAGCCUGUGUUCAGCCGUGUAAUGAGAUUGCAUAAAACCUGACUCUUACCUGAAUUUAAAUCAGACUCACUCUACCCUCUCAAAGGGAGCUCAUUCACAGCCCUGAUAUUUUUUUCCCCUGCCUAUUCAUUCUAUUACUGUCCUCUGCCAUGAGAAUCUGAGCUACAGAACCAGGAGCUGGCCUGAAGAGCUCCACUUCCCAAAGAGCUACUGGGGAUUGCUCGAUUUGUAAGAGACCAAAAGAAAUUUGGAGAGGAGGCGUUAUUUUGCAAAGGAUAAGGAAUUCAUCCUUGGAUGCGCUGGAGCUGCUUAGUGGAAUACCAAGGGAAAACAAGUCUGUGUCUUUGAAUCCUAUCCAGCUGCAGCCACAAGUUCCUGAAGAGUACAUGCAAGAUGACAUGCAAACAAUCCACAUGCUAUUUUUGGCCAAAAUGAGUGAGCAAGGAGACCCUUCUGCAUAGAUCAAAUGAAGACUUAAGUGUCAUUGGUCCUGCAUGUUUCCUUCCCUUGAACAGCUCCACGAGGAUUUUUAGGGCAGAGGGUUCCUCCCAAGUAGAGGGAGUUCCGGGCCCAGCAUAGAAUAAAGAAAAAGAAGGGAGAUAUAUAUAUAGAUAGAUACAUAGAUAUACAGAUAUAUAGAUAUACAUUUUAAAAUAUGAUAAUAUAUAAAUAUACAUAAUAUAUGUAAAUAUCUUUGUAUAUAUUCCAAAGAGUCUGAUACCCAAAAGAUGACACUCCGCAGUGAAUCAAGAGAGUUAAACUUCUGCUUCUUUCCCUCGUUGCUCCACACUUUAACACCCUGUUCUAAUUGCAUCCUUAAUCCACAUCAGAGUUCUAAACAGAGAAUUUCUGGGAGGUAGAGGGGUAGUGGGGUUCACACUGCUUGAGAGAUCCUAACAGCGUGGCCCAAUUUCUGAGGAGAGCGAUGCCUUGAGUGGGCAAAGGAUGAUGAGAGUACAUACUUAGAGGAGUAAGGCAAAAGUAAGCAGCUGUAACAGGCUGUUCCAAUAGAAAGAGACUUGAUAAAGAAGUCAGAUAACAGGAACAAGAAUCCUCAAAGAGAUCUAAUUAGGGCAUGAAAAAGACUUCGUGGGACCAAAAAAAAAAAAGAUUAAUUUUUAUUUAAAAACUAAACAAUUUAAUUGAAGUAUCAAAUAGACAAUUUGGAAAAGUGAACAGCCACAAUCAAGAACCAACUCAGAAGCCUAGAAGAAAUACAUUGCUGCACAGGAAAAAAUACAAAGAUAGAAAUCAUAGGACAAAACAAAGAAAUUUGAACGCAGAUCCAGGAAGCUUUUUGUGGCAGAAAAGGAUGUCUGGAAAAGAAGGAACAGAGACAGGGGAGUUAAUAAUGAAACAAAUAGUGCAGAAAAAACUCCCACCCUGGAGAAAGACUUGAGGCUGAAGACUGAACGGGAUAAUUGUGUUUUGGAUGGAUUAAUAGAAACACGGCACAGCUCUUGGUGAAAUUCUUAAAUCCCCAGAACAGAGGCAGGGGAUGCUCAUUUAAUUGUCCCAAAGGCAUUGUUUCUCAACAUAUAGUCCAUGGACUUCCUACCUCAGAACGAAGAAACUGGUUAAAAAUUCAGAUUCCAGAACUUCUGAAUCACAACCUUUGGUUGACAACCCUUGAAUCUGUGGACAAGUCACAUAAAUCUAAAAGUUUAUACUGUCCACAGUCCUUUCCUUUGGUCCUAAUAUCAGCGCCAACGUGGAUUCACAGCCAAAAGGAGUUCAUGAUGCAUCUCCCAUGGAAAGAGCUUAUACCUCAAACCCACAAGGCUCCCCUCUACAUUCACCACAUGGAGAACAGACCAGCCAAAACCUCUCAGGAGUAAGGAAAGCCAAAGGAGAAACCUCAGGAAGGGCUGGACUGGGCACAUUUGGUUUCCUUGAAGUCACUUAUUAGAUAACUAAGCUAACUCUUCCUCAUGACAGAGAAGAGUGGCUUGGGUCUCUCCCCGCAGGAAGACAUGGCCAGGGGAAUGAAGGUUCUUCCUCGACAGGUGUACUGGAGAUAUUCUACAUCAAUGUUUUAGAAUUCUGUUUGUAAAUAAUGCCAGUUGAAAAUGAUGGUUUUUUUGUGUGUAACUAGUACAAUCCAAAUCAGACAUUUAUUGAACUCUCACUGUGUGUAAAGGAAAAUACUUACCUCUGUAGGAUAGAGGAUAAAGAACUACUAAGAUAAGCACAUAAUGCUUCACAAAAGUACUAAAAAAAAAAUUAAAAAAGUAAAACUGUCACCUUAGAAUUCUGUAUUACAUGAAAAUAUAUUUAUUUUUAUUCAUUUAUUUGCUUGUUUUUGAGACAGGGUCUCCCUCUGUCACCCAGGCGGGAGUGCAGUGGAGCAAUCACAGAUCACUACAGCCUUGACCUCCCAGGCUCAAGUGAUCCUCCCACCUCAUUAUUGUACAUUUUUAAAUGUACAAUAGAUUAUUGUUGAACUGGAAUCCAGCUAGAAUCCAAUUUUUAGAAACUCACUCUAAGGUAAUGAUUAAAAUAUCAGGUGUUAGUUCUAUAAAUCUGUCAUCUAGAUUAAAAACCAGAUGCUUCCAUUCCAGGGUGGAGUAUUUGCCAGUAACUCUCUGGAGAUCUGUCUUAUCUGUGACCAAGACAACGAAGCUUAAAAAAAGGCAAUAAUGUUGGAAAAAGACAUGAAUAUGGUCUGUAUUAAAUUGAUUCUACUUUUUAUUUAGUCAUGACUCUGGACUAACUUUCAAAAAGUAAAAUGUUAUGCCAGCCUAGCAAAUGUUCAUAUCAAAUUCCUCAUUGUUUUCUCUACUCUCCUUUGUCCUGCCCUCCACUUUUGUUUGCUUGGUGAGGCUCACCCUAAAAUAUGUAAAAAUAUGUAAAAUAUGUAAAAAAAAAAUUUAAAAAGCAAUGAUGUUCUGUUGGAAGAAACAAAGGAAAGAAAUAAAAGUUGCAUUUAAAGGGUACAGAAAGAAAUGAUUUUCCUUUUCUGCUUCAAAUGGG
rnacentral:lncRNA from 1 species